UUCAAUUUUUGAAGUUUCUCUAGCUUUUUUGUUGGGUGAAAUCAGUAUAAGAAGCUCUUUCUUCUUUAAAAAUUAGUAGGAACUAAAAAACUUUGAUUUAAAACCAGGAUUAGAUACCCUGUUAUUCUCAGUUAUUCUUAAACAGGGUAGUAAAAGUUGUUCUUCAAACCCAAAGAUUUUGGCGGCACUUUAUCCAAAUAGAGGAGCUUGUCCCUUAAUCGAUAGUCCUCGUUUUAUCUUUCCUUCAUUUGUAAAGCUUGUAUACCGCCGUUGUCAGAUUACUUUUAGAGAAUGUUUUCAAGUUAAAAGACUUUAUAACUUCAGGUCAAGGUGCAGUUUAUAUGGGGGUGGAGGUGAGCUACAGUUUUCUUUAGAAAAUACGGAUUCUAAGCUUUGAGGCUAGCUGAAGGUGGAUUUACUAGUAAAGUAA
rnacentral:rRNA from 1 species